rnacentral:rRNA from 1 species
AGUGAACGCUGGCGGUAGGCCUAACACAUGCAAGUCGAACGGUAGCACAGGAGAGCUUGCUCUCUGGGUGGCGAGUGGCGGACGGGUGAGGAAUACAUCGGAAUCUACCUUUUCGUGGGGGAUAACGUAGGGAAACUUACGCUAAUACCGCAUACGACCUACGGGUGAAAGUGGGGACCGCAAGGCCUCACGCGAUUAGA